rnacentral:rRNA from 1 species
CCUACGGGUGGCAGCAGUGGGGAAUAUUGGGCAAUGGACGCAAGUCUGAACCAGCCAUGCCGCGUGCAGGAAGACGGCUCUCUGAGUUGUAAACUGCUUUUGUACGAGGGUAAACGCAGAUACGCGUCUCUGUCUGAAAGUAUAGUACGAAUAAAGAUCGGCUAACUCCGUGCCAGCAGCCGCGGUAAUACGGAGGGUACAAGCGUUAUCCGGAUUUAUUGGGUUUAAGGGGUGCGUAGGCGGUCGGAUAAGUUAGAGGUGAAAUCCCGUGGCUCAACUUGGGAAUUGCAUCUGAUACUGGUCGGCUAGAGAGUAGUUGUGGUAGGCGGAAUGUAUGGUGUAGCGGUGAAAUGCUUAGAGAUCAUAGAGAACACCGAUGGCGAAGGCAGCUUACCAAGCUACUUCUGACGUUGAGGCACGAAAGCGUGGGGAGCAAACAGGAUUAGAUACCCGGGUAGUC